AUGUCAGGCACUUCAGAGACGAGGAGUCAGCACUAUUCAGAGCUCCAAGACAAUGGCCAGGAGCUUCCUCAGUCACCCUCAGCACCCCUUGCUGGCCUUGGAGGAGGCAGCCACAUCUCAGCAGCAUCGCUAUUCCCUAAGCAAGAUGUUACCCAGCAUACCACCGCAUCGCAGGCACCAACGCACCUGUGGGAGAACAUGCUACAUGCCCCCCACACACCGUGCCAUGCCCCCUCUGAGCACCCUGCUCCAGGAAGACGCUGGAAAGCAGUGACAGUGCAGAGAAGUGCAGGAAAGAGCCAAAGGCUGGAAGCGCUGCCUCCCCCCCCCCCCCGCCCCCGGGCUGCCUUUGGGACCACUCGCCUCCCAAAUCCCCCCGCGCGGAGCCCCGCUGCCCGGGGCAGCCGCUCCAGCUGGGAACGCCAGACCGCAGCCGCCUCCUUCUCGCAUGGCCCUGUCCGGAUUGCCAGGGCGGAUCGGGGCCCUUUGCCCCCUGCCGGGGCAGAGGAGGGGGGGUCUGCUCCGAACGGGAAGGGACGUGGGGACUUUUUUUUUUUUAUUAUUGUUAUUAUUUAAUUCCCAAGGUCGUAGGAUUUACAGCCCGCGCUUACGUACUAUCAUCAGACACAGCCAAAUAAAAAUGAUAGAUUUCUGCGCUUGCUUUACA
rnacentral:lncRNA from 1 species